rnacentral:rRNA from 1 species
AUACGGAGGAUGCGAGCGUUAUCCGGAUUUAUUGGGUUUAAAGGGUGCGUAGGCGGGAUUUUAAGUCAGCGGUGAAACGCAAGGGCUCAACCCUUGACCUGCCGUUGAAACUGGAGUUCUUGAAUGCGGAUGCUGUGGGAGGAAUGUGUGGUGUAGCGGUGAAAUGCAUAGAUAUCACACAGAACACCGAUUGCGAAGGCAUCUCACAAAUCCGUGAUUGACGCUGAGGCACGAAAGGGUGGGGAUCAAACAGGAUUAGAUACCCUGGUAGUCCACACUGUAAACGAUGAUAACUCGCUGUCGGCGAUACACAGUCUGUGGCCAAGCGAAAGCGAUAAGUUAUCCACCUGGGGAGUACGACCGCAAGGUUGAAACUCAAAUGAAUUGACGGGG